AUGUUACAUUUUCAACCAGAGAAAACUCUAGAACACCUUUACUCCACACUCAGAGACGUGUACAAAGCACUCCCUAGCCCUCCAAUUGGCAAAUCUGACCAUAAAUAUAUCCUCCUGAUUCCUGCUUACAAGCAAAAACUAAAGCAGGAAGUACCAGUGACACGCAUAAUAUGGAAGUGGCCAGAUGACGCAGAUGCUAAGCUACAGGACUAUUUUGCGAGUACAGACUGGAAUAUGUUCUGGGAUUCUUCCGAUGGCAUUGAGGAGUUCACCACAUCAGUCCAUGGCUUCAUCAAUAAGUGCAUUGAUGAUGUCGUCCCCACAGUGACCGUACGUACAUACCCCAACCAGAAGCCAAGGAUUACAUACAACAUUUGCACUGAGCUAAAGGGUAAAGCUGCCGCUUUCAAGGAACGGGACUCUAACCCGGACACUGAUAAGAAAUCCCGCUAUGCCCUCCGACGAAGGCAAAGCGUCAAUACAGGACUAAGAUUGAAUCCUACUACAACGGCUUCAACGCUCGUCGGAUGUGGCAGGGCUUGUAAACUAUUACGGACUACAAAGGGAAGCACAGCCGUGAGCUGCCCAGUGACUACCAGACAAGCUAAAUUACUUCUAUGCGCCUUCAAGGCAAGCAACACUGAAGCAUUCAUGAGAGCACCAGCUGUUCCGGAUGACUGUGUGAUCAAGCUCUCCGUAGCCGAUGUGAGUAUGACCGAUAAACAGGUCAACAUUCACAAGGCCGGAGGGCCAAAUGGAUUACCAGGAUGUAUACUCCGAGCAUGCACUGACCAACUGGCAAGUGUCUUUACUGACAUUUUCAACUUGUCCCUGACUGAGUCUGUAAUAGCAACAUAUUUCAAGCAGACCAUCAUAGUCCAUGUGCCCAAGAACACUAAGGUAACGUGCCUAAAUGACUACCGCCCUGUAGCACUCACGUCUGUAGUCAUGAAGUGCUUUGAAUGGCUGGUCAUGGCUCACAUCAACACCAUUAUCCCAGACACCCUAGACCCACUCCAAUUUGCAUAUCGCCCCAACAGAUCCACUGAUGACUCAAUCUCUAUUGCACUCCACACUGCCCUUUCCCACAUGGACAAAAGGAACACCUACAGUGCCUUACGAAAGUAUUCGGCCCCCUUGAACUUUGCGACCUUUUGCCACAUUUCAUGCUUCAAACAUAAAGAUAUAAAACUGUAUUUUUUUUGUGAAGAAUCAACAACAAGUGGGACACAAUCAUGA
ensembl:lncRNA